UUUAAUUCUCACUGAAUAAUUCACUUUUACUCGUAGUUUUUCUCUUUGGUCAUAUGGAAUGGGGUCAGAUCAGAUGUGCCAGGAGUUUUUAAUACUUGACUAUAAGCCAGUGAAUGAACUGCUUUGUGGUGAGGGAGAAUAAGGAUGUUCACAAUAAGCCAUGUUCAACAUGGCUUCCCCCCAAAGUCUGGUCUGAAGAGUCCUAUAGCCGUGUGACAGCCCUGACUGGGCUUUGAAAACUAGACAUCAGGCAUAGCCAGCUCCCCAGCACAUCUAGAAGGGACAGUGUGUCUAUGACUUCUGGGGAGGUCUCUUCCUCUUCCUCUUCUAGCUCUUCUUCUGCAGGUUUAGGUGGCUCUCCUGUCACCGCCAUAGUGACCUCUGGUUGGAAAACCUCUGAAAGAGAUCCCGUGGUUUCCAGCUCUUCCCCUUCCAUUCUUCCACAGUUACUUGUCUUGCCCUCUGAGGUACAGUUAUAAUUUCA
rnacentral:lncRNA from 1 species